GGGGAAUAUUGCGCAAUGGGGGGAACCCUGACGCAGCCAUGCCGCGUGAAUGAAGAAGGCCUUAGGGUUGUAAAGUUCUUUCGGUAUUGGGGAAGGUUGAUGUGUUAAUAGCACAUCAAAUUGACGUUAAAUACAGAAGAAGCACCGGCUAACUCCGUGCCAGCAGCCGCGGUAAUACGGAGGGUGCGAGCGUUAAUCGGAAUAACUGGGCGUAAAGGGCACGCAGGCGGUUAUUUAAGUGAGGUGUGAAAGCCCUGGGCUUAACCUAGGAAUUGCAUUUCAGACUGGGUAACUAGAGUACUUUAGGGAGGGGUAGAAUUCCACGUGUAGCGGUGAAAUGCGUAGAGAUGUGGAGGAAUACCGAAGGCGAAGGCAGCCCCUUGGGAAUGUACUGACGCUCAUGUGCGAAAGCGUGGGGAGCAAACAGGAUUAGAUACCCUGGUAGUCCACGCUGUAAACGCUGUCGAUUUGGGGGUUGGGGUUUAACUCUGGCGCCCGUAGCUAACGUGAUAAAUCGACCGCCUGGGGAGUACGGCCGCAAGGUUA
rnacentral:rRNA from 1 species